AAACCAACAGGGAUUGCCCUAGUAACGGCGAGUGAAGCGGCAACAGCUCAAAUUUGAAAUCUGGCCUCACGGUCCGAAUUGUAAUUUGUAGAGGAUGUUUCUGGCGACGUGUCUUCCGAGUUCCCUGGAACGGGACGCCAUAGAGGGUGAGAGCCCCGUCCGGUCGUACACCUAGCCUCUGUGAAACUCCUUCGACGAGUCGAGUAGUUUGGGAAUGCUGCUCUAAAUGGGAGGUAUACGUCUUCUAAAGCUAAAUACCGGCCAGAGACCGAUAGCGCACAAGUAGAGUGAUCGAAAGAUGAAAAGCACUUUGAAAAGAGGGUUAAAUAGUACGUGAAAUUGCUGAAAGGGAAGCGCUUAUGACCAGACUUGGGCUCGGUGAAUCAUCCGGCGUUCUCGCCGGUGCACUUUGCCGUCCCAGGCCAGCAUCAGUUCGCGCCGGGGGAUAAAGGUUUCGGGAAUGUAGCUCCUUCGGGAGUGUUAUAGCCCGUUGCGUAAUACCCUGGCGUGGACUGAGGUCCGCGCUCUGCAAGGAUGCUGGCGUAAUGGUCAUCAGUGAC
rnacentral:rRNA from 1 species